rnacentral:tRNA from 1 species
GUUUUAGUAGUUUAAAUAAAAACACUGGUCUUGUAAAUCAACAAUAAGUACUAUGCUUCUAAAACU